CAUGAGCGACGUGGUGGAGCGGACUCUGAGCGCCCUGCCCGGGCUGCUGGGGCAGCACGACCCCGGCACCGGCCCGGGCGGCGCCGGCGGCCCCGCCAGGGUGUCGGCCACCUCCCGGCUCGGCAGCCUCAUCCGGAGCAUCACGGCGCUCACCUCCAAGCACGAAGAAGAAAAAUUGAUCCAGCAGGAACUAACCAGUUUGAAAGCAACAGUUUCAGCCCCCACCACAACACUUAAACUGAUGAAAGAAUGUAUGGUGAGACUCAUCUACUGUGAAAUGCUGGGGUACGAGUCUUCCUUUGGAUAUAUCCAUGCAAUCAAGCUUGCACAGCAAGGAAAUCUUUUGGAGAAGAGAGUUGGCUACUUGGCAGUUUCUCUAUUUCUACAUGAAAAUCAUGAGCUGCUGCUUCUACUUGUGAACACAGUUGUGAAGGACUUACAGAGCACUAACCUAGUAGAGGUCUGCAUGGCAUUAACCGUUGUCAGCCAGAUCUUUCCACGGGAAAUGAUUCCAGCUGUUCUUCCCCUAAUAGAAGACAAGCUCCAGCACUCUAAGGAAAUUAUCCGAAGAAAAGCUGUUCAGGCUUUAUAUAAAUUCUAUCUCAUCGCUCCUAACCAAGUUCAGCACAUCCACGAUAAGUUCCGGAAAGCCUUAUGUGACAGGGAUGCUGGAGUCAUGGCUGCUUCUCUGCAUAUUUAUCUUCAAAUGAUUAAGGAAAACUCGUCUGGAUACAAGGACUUGACUGGGAGUUUUGUAACCAUCCUGAAGCAGGUAGUGGGAGGAAAGCUCUCUUCUGACUUCAACUAUCACAGUGUGCCAGCACCAUGGUUACAAAUUCAGCUUUUAAGAAUAUUGGGGCUGUUAGGAAAAGAUGAUCCAAGGACAAGUGAAUUGAUGUAUGAUGUUCUAGAUGAAUCUUUAAGAAGAGCAGAGAUAAAUCAUAAUAUUACAUAUGCCAUCUUAUUUGAAUGUGUCCAAACAAUUUAUACAAUUUAUCCCAAAUCUGAACUACUUGAAAAAGCUGCCAAGUGCAUUGGAAAAUUUGUUUUGUCACCCAAAAUUAAUUUGAAGUACUUAGGUUUAAAGGCUCUGACCUAUGUUAUCCAGCAGGAUCCUAAUCUGGCCCUUCAGCACCAGAUGACAAUAAUUGAAUGUCUGGACCAUCCAGAUCCCAUUAUUAAAAGAGAGACUUUAGAGCUUCUCUAUAGGAUUACAAAUGGACAGAAUGUCAUUGUCAUAGUUCAAAAGAUGCUUGACUACUUAAAAGAAAGUAAAGAAGAAUAUGCUAUCAUCAACCUAGUUGCCAAAGUAGCAGAAUUAGCUGAGAAAUAUGCUCCUAACAACGAGUGGUUCAUCCAGACAAUGAAUGCUGUGUUUUCAGUCGGAGGUGAUGUUGUGCAUCCCGAUAUCCCAAACAACUUUCUGAGGCUGUUGGCUGAAGGAUUUGAUGAUGGAAAGGAGGAUCAUCAGCUACGGAUGUAUGCAGUGCAGUCUUAUUUAUCAUUACUUGGAGAGGAAGAUGCAUUGUAUCCACAGAAAUUCCUUCAAGUUAUGAGUUGGGUGUUGGGAGAAUAUUUCAGUCUUGUUACAGAUGUUGAUCCAGAAGUUAUUUUGACAAAACUACACAGCCUGCUGAAGAAGACUUAUGUUAUUUCUGAAACUAAAGCGUGGAUAAUGGCUGCAGUCACCAAGAUAGCAUCACAUACCUCCUGUUCAGAAACAGUUGACAAACUAAUCCAAGAAUUUAGCAGCUCUCUAGAUACCUGCAUAAGACAAUAUGCCUUUGAAUUGAAACAUCUCUGUGAAGACAAAGCACUGAUGAAAAAUUUGCUUCCAUUUGAUGCUAGUUGCAAUGAUAUGGUGGUAGAUGCUUCCUUAUCUUUUCUGGAUGGGUUUGUGGCCGAAGGACUUGGUCGUGGGGCAGCACCAUAUAAACCUCAUCACCAGAGGCAAGAGGAGAAACUUUCUCAGGAAAAAGCUCUGAAUUUUGAACCUUAUGGAUUGUCCUUUGCUUCAAGUGUGUCCUCAUCUGGUGUCACCGGCAGACAGUCCCCCACUGGUUUAUCUUUUGGUUCUGAUACAUCUGGUAAUAGUGCUGAGACAGGGCACAAAGAGACAAAUACUCUGAAACUUGAGGGAGUACGUAAGCUGUGGGGAAAAGAAGGUUAUCUUCCAAAGAAAGAAAAAGUAGGGAAAGAAAAUGAGCCACAAACAGUUUCUUGUGGCAGUUUAUUAGCAGGACAGGCAGGUGACCCUCCUGUGUUGAGGUCUGAUCAAGGUGCCAGCCUCACUGAGGAAGACAAAGAGAAGCAGCAGUUAGCAUCAACUUUGUUUGUUGGGCUGGGAUCAAGUGCUGGUGUCAGUCUGAUGGGGAAAGCAGACACAGCUACCCAGAAGUUCAAAAGGAAAUCAAAGAUAAACGAAACUCAACAUAGUGAGGAGGCAUCAGACUUCAAAAGUAGUGCUGCUUCAGAUUUUGGUCCCUUACUUGAUAAAGUACCUAUUAACACAGAAGACUCUGAGGAAUGUACACACACAAGGUUAAGGAAAGCCUCCCUGUGCUCUUCAGAUAUUGUAGAAGAUAAUUUAGCAUUUGAAACACCUCAGUCCCUUAAAAAGUCUGUGCUGGAUGACAGACUUUCAGAUAAUAGGGUGUCACAGUCAUCUUUGUUUGAUGAUAGUAAUAUUGAAAUUUUUCAGCCUUCUCCAAGUGCUCAAUGUGAAAGUGCCAGUGAAACACCAUUGGUUCCUUCCUUACCAGAAGAACUUGAAGAGCUUCCUCACUCUGAGGUACUGGAACUUCAUCAGAGUGAUGCCUUAGCUCUGUAUUUGUGUAAGGCGUGGACAGAUGACUCUCUGUUGCUCACUGUCUUAGUUUCCAAUAAAACCACUUCUGCACUUAAUGCUGUGAACUUAGUGUUUGAAGAAACAGAACACUUUCAGAUUUUGGAGAGUCCCACCCACCAGUUUCCUGUAAUUGAAGCUCAAAGUUUGGAACAUUGCCAGAAAUGUGUGAGGAUGAACAAAAUCUGUACCCAGGGAAUUCUUUCUGGCUCUGUUAGUUACCAGUCAGAGAUGGAAACUCGCCUUGAAUUUUCAGUAACUUUAUCACUGAUGGACUUCAUCAGGCCAAUGGAAAUGACUACAGAAGACUUUGGAAAGCUGUGGUUGUCCCUUUCCAAUGAUGUGAAACAGAAUAUAAAAAUGUCGUCUUCCCAAGAUUCCCUUUCAGCAGCCUUGAACACACUGCAACAGAAGCUGAAACUCCAUGUAGUUGACAUUAUAGGUAAUGAGGGAAUACUGGCGUGCCAGCUGCUUCCAUCUGUGCCCUGCCUGCUGCACUGCCGUACUCACUCAGGGAUGUUGGCUGUGUGGUUCAGAUCACCUUGUGCUGCUCUUCCAGAUGGUUUGCUCUAUCAGUGUCAAAAGUGAUGAAGAAUGUAACACCACAGAAGUCUUGAGUCCAUUGGUGAUUUAAAUAUCCCGUGUCUCACUUGGAGAUACCAGAAGAGUGCAAGACUACACUUUAGAUCUUUGGAACAGCAUUCUCUGUGUCGCUUAUGUUGUCCAACCCUCUUUUUGGAAUUCUGCCAGAUUGUGUGUUUUGGUUUUAGGCAUCACAGGAGACUUGAGUAUCUCUUGUUAUUCAUAGUUGACAGGAAUAGCAUUUUGUUAAGUUCAAUGCUGACAUAAGAAAGCAUUGCUGUAGAGUUGGGAGCUUGGGGAGUUGGACAUAACGACUGAACUGCAACUGGCUGCAGCCCUGGUCUAAGUCAGGGGGAUGGUUUGUGUAAAAAAGCUGCCAGUGUGUAACAGGAAUCCUGACUGAGCUGGGAUGCUCAGGCCCUUGAGAACCUCAGCAAUUCAGUGCUGGAAAUCCCUCUGAUCUUCUUCCAUCAUCCAGCUGUCUCUGAAAUAUGACUGCAUAGAUAAUUAUACAAAGGAAUGUUUUUCCGUCUGGUUCCGUAUUGAAAACCCUUUUGUGACUAUCUUCCUCCAUGGUGUUCCCAGUUACUUUUCUGUGUGACUUGGUAGAUCUUGAAGGCUUAGGCUGUUUUCCAGGAAAGGGAUAGAAACAGGCUAGAAGGAAGAGAGCACAUAACCAGUUUACAUGAAGAAGUUUGGUUUCAAGAGGCAAGCAGAGGUCAGUCAGUAUAAACUGACCUUUCUGAACUGGCAGGUUAACAACGUUUGGACCAAACCCUGGGUACCAGGAGGCUUCACUCUUUUACUGCAGUUUGGAGUUCUGAACAUCUGGGAGUCAACAGAUCUUUUUGAGGUACGGCCGACAAUCCCCAUCCAGGCUGUACAGGGCAGUUAGAAAUUCCACAUCCGCGA